AUUGAACGCUGGCGGCAUGCCUUACACAUGCAAGUCGAACGGCAGCACGGACUUCGGUCUGGUGGCGAGUGGCGAACGGGUGAGUAAUAUAUCGGAACGUAUCCAAUAAUGGGGGAUAACUAAUCGAAAGGUUGGCUAAUACCGCAUACGUCCUACGGGAGAAAGCUAGGGACCUUCGGGCCUGGCGUUAAUGGAGCGGCCGAUAUCGGAUUAGCUAGUUGGUGAGGUAAAGGCUCACCAAGGCGACGAUCCGUAGCUGGUCUGAGAGGACGACCAGCCACACUGGAACUGAGACACGGUCCAGACUCCUACGGGAGGCAGCAGUGGGGAAUUUUGGACAAUGGGCGAAAGCCUGAUCCAGCCAUUCCGCGUGAGUGAAGAAGGCCUUCGGGUUGUAAAGCUCUUUCGCAAGAGAAGAAAACUUACCCUCUAACAUAGGGUGAGGUUGACGGUAUCUUGAUAAGAAGCACCGGCUAACUACGUGCCAGCAGCCGCAGUAA
rnacentral:rRNA from 1 species